rnacentral:rRNA from 1 species
AUACGGAGGAUCCGAGCGUUAUCCGGAUUUAUUGGGUUUAAAGGGUGCGCAGGCGGGAGAUUAAGUCGGCGGUGAAAUUUUGCAGCUCAACUGUAAAAGGGCCUUCGAAACUGGUUUCCUUGAGUGUAGAUGAAGUAGGCGGAAUUUGGGGUGUAGCGGUGAAAUGCAUAGAUAUCACGAGGAACUCCGAUUGCGCAGGCAGCGUACUAAACUACUACUGACGCUCAGGCACGAAGGCGUGGGGAUCAAACAGGAUUAGAUACCCUGGUAGUCCACGCAGUAAACGAUGAUUACUAGCUGUUUGCGAUACAAUGUAAGCGGCUGAGCGAAAGCGUUAAGUAAUCCACCUGGGGAGUACGUUCGCAAGAAUGAAACUCAAAGGAAUUGACGGGG